GGGGUUGUGGCUCAGUGGUAGAGUGCUCGCCUAGCAUAUGUGGGGCCCUGGGUUCAAUCCUCAGCACCACA
rnacentral:tRNA from 1 species